AGCGUACACGGUGGAUGCCCUGGCAGUCAGAGGCGAUGAAGGACGUGCUAAUCUGCGAUAAGCGUCGGUAAGGUGAUAUGAACCGUUAUAACCGGCGAUUUCCGAAUGGGGAAACCCAGUGUGUUUCGACACACUAUCAUUAACUGAAUCCAUAGGUUAAUGAGGCGAACCGGGGGAACUGAAACAUCUAAGUACCCCGAGGAAAAGAAAUCAACCGAGAUUCCCCCAGUAGCGGCGAGCGAACGGGGAGCAGCCCAGAGCCUGAAUCAGUGUGUGUGUUAGUGGAAGCGUCUGGAAAGGCGCGCGAUACAGGGUGACAGCCCCGUACACAAAAAUGCACAUGCUGUGAGCUCGAUGAGUAGGGCGGGACACGUGGUAUCCUGUCUGAAUAUGGGGGGACCAUCCUCCAAGGCUAAAUACUCCUGACUGACCGAUAGUGAACCAGUACCGUGAGGGAAAGGCGAAAAGAACCCCGGCGAGGGGAGUGAAAAAGAACCUGAAACCGUGUACGUACAAGCAGUGGGAGCACGCUUAGGCGUGUGACUGCGUACCUUUUGUAUAAUGGGUCAGCGACUUAUAUUCUGUAGCAAGGUUAACCGAAUAGGGGAGCCGAAGGGAAACCGAGUCUUAACUGGGCGUUAAGUUGCAGGGUAUAGACCCGAAACCCGGUGAUCUAGCCAUGGGCAGGUUGAAGGUUGGGUAACACUAACUGGAGGACCGAACCGACUAAUGUUGAAAAAUUAGCGGAUGACUUGUGGCUGGGGGUGAAAGGCCAAUCAAACCGGGAGAUAGCUGGUUCUCCCCGAAAGCUAUUUAGGUAGCGCCUCGUGAAUUCAUCUCCGGGGGUAGAGCACUGUUUCGGCAAGGGGGUCAUCCCGACUUACCAACCCGAUGCAAACUGCGAAUACCGGAGAAUGUUAUCACGGGAGACACACGGCGGGUGCUAACGUCCGUCGUGAAGAGGGAAACAACCCAGACCGCCAGCUAAGGUCCCAAAGUCAUGGUUAAGUGGGAAACGAUGUGGGAAGGCCCAGACAGCCAGGAUGUUGGCUUAGAAGCAGCCAUCAUUUAAAGAAAGCGUAAUAGCUCACUGGUCGAGUCGGCCUGCGCGGAAGAUGUAACGGGGCUAAACCAUGCACCGAAGCUGCGGCAGCGACGCUUAUGCGUUGUUGGGUAGGGGAGCGUUCUGUAAGCCUGCGAAGGUGUGCUGUGAGGCAUGCUGGAGGUAUCAGAAGUGCGAAUGCUGACAUAAGUAACGAUAAAGCGGGUGAAAAGCCCGCUCGCCGGAAGACCAAGGGUUCCUGUCCAACGUUAAUCGGGGCAGGGUGAGUCGACCCCUAAGGCGAGGCCGAAAGGCGUAGUCGAUGGGAAACAGGUUAAUAUUCCUGUACUUGGUGUUACUGCGAAGGGGGGACGGAGAAGGCUAUGUUGGCCGGGCGACGGUUGUCCCGGUUUAAGCGUGUAGGCUGGUUUUCCAGGCAAAUCCGGAAAAUCAAGGCUGAGGCGUGAUGACGAGGCACUACGGUGCUGAAGCAACAAAUGCCCUGCUUCCAGGAAAAGCCUCUAAGCAUCAGGUAACAUCAAAUCGUACCCCAAACCGACACAGGUGGUCAGGUAGAGAAUACCAAGGCGCUUGAGAGAACUCGGGUGAAGGAACUAGGCAAAAUGGUGCCGUAACUUCGGGAGAAGGCACGCUGAUAUGUAGGUGAAGUCCCUCGCGGAUGGAGCUGAAAUCAGUCGAAGAUACCAGCUGGCUGCAACUGUUUAUUAAAAACACAGCACUGUGCAAACACGAAAGUGGACGUAUACGGUGUGACGCCUGCCCGGUGCCGGAAGGUUAAUUGAUGGGGUUAGCGCAAGCGAAGCUCUUGAUCGAAGCCCCGGUAAACGGCGGCCGUAACUAUAACGGUCCUAAGGUAGCGAAAUUCCUUGUCGGGUAAGUUCCGACCUGCACGAAUGGCGUAAUGAUGGCCAGGCUGUCUCCACCCGAGACUCAGUGAAAUUGAACUCGCUGUGAAGAUGCAGUGUACCCGCGGCAAGACGGAAAGACCCCGUGAACCUUUACUAUAGCUUGACACUGAACAUUGAGCCUUGAUGUGUAGGAUAGGUGGGAGGCUUUGAAGUGUGGACGCCAGUCUGCAUGGAGCCGACCUUGAAAUACCACCCUUUAAUGUUUGAUGUUCUAACGUGGACCCGUAAUCCGGGUUGCGGACAGUGUCUGGUGGGUAGUUUGACUGGGGCGGUCUCCUCCUAAAGAGUAACGGAGGAGCACGAAGGUUGGCUAAUCCUGGUCGGACAUCAGGAGGUUAGUGCAAUGGCAUAAGCCAGCUUGACUGCGAGCGUGACGGCGCGAGCAGGUGCGAAAGCAGGUCAUAGUGAUCCGGUGGUUCUGAAUGGAAGGGCCAUCGCUCAACGGAUAAAAGGUACUCCGGGGAUAACAGGCUGAUACCGCCCAAGAGUUCAUAUCGACGGCGGUGUUUGGCACCUCGAUGUCGGCUCAUCACAUCCUGGGGCUGAAGUAGGUCCCAAGGGUAUGGCUGUUCGCCAUUUAAAGUGGUACGCGAGCUGGGUUUAGAACGUCGUGAGACAGUUCGGUCCCUAUCUGCCGUGGGCGCUGGAGAACUGAGGGGGGCUGCUCCUAGUACGAGAGGACCGGAGUGGACGCAUCACUGGUGUUCGGGUUGUCAUGCCAAUGGCACUGCCCGGUAGCUAAAUGCGGAAGAGAUAAGUGCUGAAAGCAUCUAAGCACGAAACUUGCCCCGAGAUGAGUUCUCCCUGACUCCUUGA
rnacentral:rRNA from 1 species